rnacentral:sRNA from 1 species
GCAGUUUAGAAGCAGUUCAGGUCUGGAUGAUGGGGUUUGUGUUCUCGGCCUCACGGUACCACAGAUUAUGUGUGUCUGUGGACAAGAGGUGGGUGGGCAGGCCCAGAUAUGCCUCUGCCUGCCCAUCUGUGGGCCUGUGGUCUGAGCAGCAGGUGGCCUUUCCUUCGAAGGGCUGUGAAACCACUGGCGUGGCUGGGUGGGGUUACUGGCCUGAAUCAACAGUGAGACAAUUGUGAAACCAGCUUCAAUUUCAGAGGAAGAAUUGUUGAAUUUAAUCAAUAAACUGAAUAAUGAUGAUAAUGUAGAUGGCCUCCUUGUUCAGCUGCCUCUUCCAGAGCAUAUUGAUGAGAGAAGGAUCUGCAAUGCUGUUUCUCCAGACAAGGAUGUUGAUGGCUUUCAUGUAAUUAAUGUAGGACGAAUGUGUUUGGAUCAGUAUUCCAUGUUACCGGCUACCCCAUGGGGUGUGUGGGAAAUAAUCAAGCGAACUGGCAUUCCAACCCUAGGGAAGAAUGUGGUUGUGGCUGGAAGGUCAAAAAAUGUUGGAAUGCCCAUUGCAAUGUUACUACACACAGAUGGGGCGCAUGAACGUCCCGGAGGU